GCCAUCUUAGCUCAGCUGGUAGACCGUAGAGUGCGUGGCUUUUAACCACGUGGUCGUCGGUUCGAUUCCCACAGACGGCG